rnacentral:misc_RNA from 1 species
GCAAACUUGGUCAUUUAGAGGAAGUAAAAGUCGUAACAAGGUUUCCGUAGGUGAACCUGCGGAAGGAUCAUUAAAGAUUUACUCUGGCUGUGCGCUUUCGGGCUGCACGCCGGACUUACCCACACACCACACCUGUGCACCACUUCGGUCGCCGAGGGGUCAAACCCGAAAGCCUCCGCUUUUACACGUUUUACAAGUCAGUCCAGAAUGUAACCACGAUAACAAAUACAACUUUCAACAACGGAUCUCUUGGCUCUCGCAUCGAUGAAGAACGCAGC